rnacentral:lncRNA from 1 species
GCGCGUACCACCAAUAGAACCCCAAGGGGUCCCCCAAUAUUCAACUAUAAAUUUCAUUUUGUGAAUUUCGUUUUAUGAUGGUCUGCGUGCUUACUUCGAGCUCACCAAUUCUCCUGAUUACCCCAUGGUGUCAGGUUUCUUUCCCCUCCCUUGACCACGGUUGGGAUGCUCCGAUGUCUCGGGAUGAUGGAGUAUCUACGUGGACUCCCUGAAGAUGUUCGUGAGUUCGUGAUGCGCUCUCCAU